rnacentral:tRNA from 1 species
GAGGUUGUGGCUCAGUGGUAGAGUGCGCGCCACAUGUGAGGCCCUGGGUUCAAUCCUCAGCACCACA